rnacentral:lncRNA from 1 species
CGGCGGCUCCUCGCCGGGCGCGUUUCCUCCUCCAGCACUGUCUCACCCUGCUCCAUGCUAACCUGCUGAACGGCCCCUGGCCUCUUUCCGCCCCGCCCCCGCCUCCGCAAUGCGCCCCCCUUCCCUUCUGCGGUCCCCUGCCUGUCGCCCUCUCACGCUCCAGGUUGUGAGCGAGUAUCUCCCCACUUUAACACCCUACACCACACCGCGCCCGGCCACAAGACAGCUUUACAACAUACACAACCCUGACGAGGAAACGUGUUCAAAACCAAUCACUGCGCUCAUCAUAAAGGUGAGGAACUUGGGGCUCAGUGAGAUGGAGUGACUUUGACCUGCCUGAUGUUCCACAGCCAGCAGUGUAUUUUCUCCAGGUAAAGAAAGCUUUUCGUGGUUCACUGACUGAGGAAAAUCAACCCCUCCACAAUCUAGAACCUGAAGACUGGAUCUUCUGGGAACAUCAGAAAUAGACUGCCUUUGCCAUCCACACUACAGCAAAACUCUGGGACCUUGAACUUUGGGUUCAUAAUCUCACAACCCAAAAGGUUCCCUCCACACUCCUGGAACUGUACACCCUUUGGAAACUUUAAGGUAACACUAACCAGGGAAGUGUCUCCCCAGAAGAUGACAUUCUUGAUGUGAACAGCUUUUCCCCAAGAUCAUGAAUCAAGAUUCCUCUACUAUCAGGAGACUCUCAAUCUUUCAAAUUUUUCCCCCUUGCUUAUGCCUCCAUGAGCAAUAGAGGUGAAGUCGGGGUCAGUUGUGUGUACUCAUGGGGUAUACUUUUAUUUGUGAAGGAUUUUGCAGCCAGCCUUGUACAUGGAUAACCUUAUGGUUUGACAGAUGGAAGAUGAAGGCCCAAUGUAGGUGAGAAAUUUGAAUGGUAUAUUAUGUUCCCUUAUAAUCAGUCAGAAGGACAACAUGGAUCUACUCCUGUUUACCCACCUC